AGGGCUUGACAUUCCGACGAAAUCUCGCGGAAACGCGAGACCUCUCACAAGGACGGCGGAACAGGUGCUGCAUGGUUGUCGUCAGCAUGUGCCUUGAGGUGCACCCUUAAAUGGGGUAACAUGCGCAACCCUUGUCCUGCGUUUCAAGUGUCGCAGGAGACUGCCUGAGACAAUCAGGAGGAAGGUGAGGAUGACGCCAAAUCAGCAUGGCCCUUUGACGCCCUGGGCUGCACACAUGAUACAAUGGGACUGACAAUGGGCGAAGCCGUAAGGCGGAGGUAAUCCCAUCAAACGGUCUCUCAGUUCGGAUUGAGGUCUGCAACCCGACCUCAUGAAGCUGGAAUCGCUAGUAAUCGCCAAUCAGCCAUGUGGCGAUGAAUAUGUUCCUGAAGCU
rnacentral:rRNA from 1 species